GUGCGUUUUGACAGCACAUGUACUAAAACUGCAAUGAUAUAGAGAACGUUAGCAUGGUCUCUGCGGAAGGAUGAUACUCAAAUUCGUUAAGCGUUCCCAUGGUCU
ensembl:snRNA U6 U6 spliceosomal RNA